UACGGAGGGUGCGAGCGUUGUCCGGAAUCAUUGGGCGUAAAGGGCGCGUAGGUGGCCCGGUCAGUCAGUGGUGAAAGCGCGGGGCUCAACUCCGCGUCGGCCAUUGAUACUGCUGGGCUGGAGCACUGUAGAGGCAGGCGGAAUUCCGGGUGUAGCGGUGGAAUGCGUAGAGAUCCGGAAGAACACCGGUGGCGAAGGCGGCCUGCUGGGCAGUUGCUGACACUGAGGCGCGACAGCGUGGGGAGCAAACAGGG
rnacentral:rRNA from 1 species